GAGUGAGUUACCAACCAACCAACCAGCCGGCUGACAGGAAGCAGACGCGGAGUGGCAUUGGAAAUUGUUUUACUACGGGGCCAUUUACAAAACAAUUACACUUAUUUGUGCGCCAUUUAACAGCUCGUCCCUCCACUGACAAUCCAUCAGCGGCUGUUUCUACCCAUUCAGCGAAACUCUGAGGAACUCAAGGCAACCGAAAGCCGGCUGACGCUACUCGACUUCAUUUCGUCCUGACAGCUUUGGAGUGGAAAUGAAUACUCGGGCCAGUCGAUCCACUGGGCGAAAAAUAAUACGAAAACAAAAAAAAUAUCCUAAGGCCAAUUGAAUUAGCAGUAUAAUCUAUUUUAAACACGACUUCUUCAUAUAAAUAGUAGUAUCUACCUCCACUUAACUCUUUUCUAAGUCCUAAUUUUCUCAAUACUUAUCAAAGCAAAACCAAAUUUGUUCCAGUGUUCCUAUUUCCGUUGCAGAACAGUUGCUCCAAAAGGACUGCUUAGUAUGCAGCUCAGCAAGGAGAAGAGCCAGCGACAGCUGACGAACUGCAUACCUGCAAUGGCAGGUAAAUAAAAUUAAUCAUACGCCCCGUGGAACGUUAGUGUUCAUUUUAAAAAAUUUGCCCAAUUCAAUUAUUAACUUCGUUGUGUUGAAAUUUAUGAUUUCAUAAACUGUAAUUAUCUAUUUGUAUCGCAAAUAUAUAUCAAGAAUUUUGUUAUUCGGUUAACAAUGAAUUCUAUUUGCAGAAAUGAGGCAAUAUUCAAUUAUUUUGUGCAUUAUUCAUAAUCUCAAGAGCAAUUAUAAUUGGUCAAUCCUUUGUGUGGCAAAGGAAAUAAAAAAUAAAUCGAAUUCUUGGAACGGUCGUAGCCAGUUAAAUUAAAAGUUGGAGGAAUAUCUUCCGUUACUCUUUCCCAACCACACACACUUCAAACCAGAGCUGUGGUAUGAUAAGAGGCAUGGUGAUCGAAAUGAUUAAUGUGGCACAAAUAAAUUAAUUGCCAUUUAAUAAUAGUAUAUAAAAUUGGUGUAAACAAGAUACCCGUUGAGAUAAAGAAUGCUUCAGUAAAGAAUAAAAUAUAUCUCGUUUUAUGAACUUGGUAAUUUAGUUGAAAAUUGGUAAUUACACAUGGGUGGGGUGCCAUCACGACCUUACCAACGAAUAGC
ensembl:ncRNA lncRNA:CR45314 long non-coding RNA:CR45314